rnacentral:misc_RNA from 1 species
AGACGUGGUUAUUUAUUGAAG